rnacentral:rRNA from 1 species
UACGUAGGGGGCUAGCGUUGUCCGGAAUCAUUGGGCGUAAAGGGUGCGUAGGCGGCGAGGCCAGUCUGAUGUGAAAUCCCCGGGCUCAACCCGGGAACUGCAUUGGAUACUGCCUUGCUUGAGUACUGGAGAGGGAACUGGAAUUUACGGUGUAGCAGUGAAAUGCGUAGAGAUCGUAAGGAAGGCCAGUGGCGAAGGCGAGUUCCUGGACAGUUACUGACGCUGAGGCACGAAGGCCAGGGGAGCAAACGGG